rnacentral:tRNA from 1 species
GGCACUGUGGCAAAGUGGUUAGCGCGCCUGCCUGUAACUCAGGACUCCCAGAGGUAAUGAGUUUAAAGUUCAUCACUGCUA